rnacentral:lncRNA from 13 species
AAAAAUAAAUCUUCCUCUCUUCCCUUGUCGCAGUUGGCUGCAUUCUACAUUCUGGUGCCGAACUCCAAGGAGCCCAAGAGUUCUGAUCCUGGCCUUCCAGAGCAUUGGGAAGUCAUUGUCAAGAGUCUCACUCUGCUGCCCAGGCUGGAGUGCAAUGGCGCAAUCCCGGCUCGCUGUAACCACCACCUCCCAGGUUCAAGUGAUUCUCCUGCCUCAGCCUCCUGAGUAGCUGGGACUACAGGACUUCGCAGACUCUUCAGUCUGUCAAUAUGCUCCAAGGCUCUUCAAGGGCGAGACUGAAGACAGAGAUUUUCCCAAGCACGCUUGACCACAGGUCUGUUUCAUUG